rnacentral:ncRNA from 2 species
CGUUAAACCAAGGAGGCAGACAUGGGACGCACCUAUUCCUUCAAUGCCCUUCUCGUCGGUGCAGCGUUCGUAUUUGUGGCGUCGAUGCUAUUCAUGUGAACUGUCGGCAGGCUGU